rnacentral:tRNA from 1 species
GGGUUCUUAGCUCAGCUGGUUCAGAGCACCUGCCUUACAAGCAGGGGGUCACUGGUUCGAAUCCAGUAGGACCCA